GCCUCCAUUUAGAACUAGAAAGAUAAUCAAAUUGUAUCUAGAAAAUAGGUAGUGUAGUUUAGCGAGAAAUUGGGAAAAAAAAGAUGAUUGAGACCUUCAGCGCAUCGCAAGGGACACGCAUCUGCUUAAGUGGCAAGCUGCUAUAUUCCCGUAUCCAUGGCGGUGACGCAAAAUGCGGAUUACAAUAUAGAGAAGGAGAAUUGGCGUCUCAGUUGCCUUAGCAAUUUUUCGGCGAAAGGUGUGCGCCUGACCACCCUUGGAGCAUUGUAGCUCCGCCACUGGUCCAGCCUACCAAGCACCACUAGCUUCUUCACUGAAGGACCCUGUAGAGUGCAAGCAGCCUUGGUAAACUGUACAAUAUCAGCAUCAUGACACAACAACUUAUAAACACUAAUAAGAUUGUAUUGGAAACUAGGAAUAUAAAGCACACCGUGAAUAUUAAGAUCAGGAAAUAAGGAUAGAGAACCAAUAUUAGUGACUUUGACUUUAUAUCCAUUAGGAAGGAAAACUAGGUAAGGAACAAGUAAGGUUUGUAUGUUGAAAAAUAGGCUUUUAAUGGAAUUCAUAUGAUCAGAUGCUCCUGAAUCUAUUAUCCAAACUAUUCCAUCUACUCUACUCAACAUAGAGGCUCCAUAGGAGGGGAAGAAGUAAUUUGGGCCUGCUGCUGAAGUAACAUCAUCAGUUGGGAAUACUGGUCCUUGGUAAGGCCAGGCACUGCAGAAGUACUCUAAGACUUAGACACAUCAGCACCACACUCUAUAGUAAAAAUACCAAGCAUGGUGUUGGAUUCAAGCUCAACAUGAGCAGUUAGGCCCCAAAUUCUUUGCAGGUCUGAAAUUGGGGGGACAACCAUACAACUUAUAACACCUGUCAAUACAGUGACCGGGAUUGUUUACAAUAUUUUCAUACCACAGAAGACCUAAUCGACUCAAAGGAAACCUUAGAAGAGAAGGUAGGCUUUGACACAACAAUAGUGUUGGAAGUUGAUGAAGAGUUCAAUACACCAAAAGUGAAAGAAGCAUAAUUAUAAGGAAACUACGUCCCAGUAGACUGUACCAACAGAAGGAAGAUGCUUCUCAUCAAACAAAAGAAUAUUGUAGACUGUACCAAAUUUCAUCAUUAAAAUGUUACUCCUGGUCUAAACAUAAGUUUCAUUCAAACCUAUAAGAAAUUGAUAAGCUCUUUGUUCCUCAUCCUCAACUGAUUUGGCCCCACAAGUACAAACCCUUGCCCUACCAGUAGAGAUGAGGCAAUUUUAUCCCACAACUAUUUUAUUUUAUUGAAAGAAGAUGCUAUACCGAGUGACCCUUGAGAGAUAUGUGCCAGUUCCCUUUUCAACUCAAAAACUCUGGAACCAUCGGCCUUAUCAUAUCUCUCUUCUAAUUCACUCCAUAUGUUUUUAGCAAAUUCAGAAUACUCUACACUUCGAGCAAUUUCUUUAGACAAUGAAUUUAUUAACUAAGAUAUUACGAGAUCAUUGCAUCCCUGCUAUUGUCUGGCUAAGGGUGACCCAUAAGGAGGUCUCCCAGUUGUACCAGUUAUGAAGUUAGUUUUGUUUCUGAUAGACAAAGCAACUAAGACAGUGCGUCUCCAACUACCAUAACAGGUUCCAUCAAAAGUAGUGGAGACCAGAUAGGUCCCAAGCACAUCAAAAGGAUGAACAUAUAAGGGGUGACAGGGGUGGGUAUAAUCUUCCUCAUGAAACACAAUACGUGAACUAGUGGAAGAUACAUGGAUUGACUGAGUGGGAUCAGAAUUACCAUUUGUCAUACUGACAACAAAAUAACAAUCAGCUAAGAUAAUGAAAUCAACAACAAAAUAUCACCAAAAUAAGGGAGAAGAGAACAUAUAUACCAUCCUCUUUCGCAACAGGAAAGAGAACGACCUUCGAUGAUAAGAAAAAUGAAGCUCAAAAUCAUAGCUCGAAAAUAGUCUAAUGCUUGAAGAAUAUCGACAAAUUCUUCACAUUAGGGACCGAAAAACUCCAUCGCACAGAUAAACCCACAGGAAACAGAGAAAUCAAUCAAAAAACAAACCCACCGAAUCGACGGAAACAGUCGAACUUCAAAAACUCCGAUGAAAGACGUUGAGGGUACAAUUGAUUGGAAGCGCAACAUUAGACGAGCACAGAUCCGUGCUCUGAUACCAUGUUAACAACCAUCAUUUUCAUAGUUUCGACGACGAAGAAUUUAGGGUUAGACAAAGGUAAGAGAGAAAGUUCGAGAUAUUUCUAAUAGAAUAAGCAAAAUCGAAUUGU
rnacentral:lncRNA from 1 species